rnacentral:rRNA from 1 species
AUUGAACGCUGGCGGCAUGCCUUACACAUGCAAGUCGAACGGUAACGCGGGGCAACCUGGCGACGAGUGGCGAAAGGGGGAGUAAUGUAUCGGAACGUGCCCAGUUGUGGGGGAUAACUGCUCGAAACAGCAGCUAAUACCGCAUACGACCUGAGGGUGAAAGCGGGGGAUCGCAAGACCUCGCGCCAUUAGACCGGCCGAUAUCAGAGUAGGUAGUUGGUGGGGUAAAGGCUCACCAAGCCGACGAUCUGUAGCUGGUCUGAGAGGACGACCAGCCACACUGGGACUGAGACACGGCCCAGACUCCUACGGGAGGCAGCAGUGGGGAAUUUUGGACAAUGGACGCAAGUCUGAUCCAGCCAUGCCGCGUGCGGGAAGAAGGCCUUCGGGUUGUAAACCGCUUUUGUCAGGGAAGAAAAGGCUCCUUCUAAUAUAGGGGGCUCAUGACGGUACCUGAAGAAUAAGCACCGGCUAACUACGUGCCAGCAGCCGCCGUAA